CAGCACGUAGCGCAGCCUGGUAGCGCACCGUCAUGGGGUGUCGGGGGUCGGAGGUUCAAAUCCUCUCGUGCCGACCA
rnacentral:tRNA from 1 species